UUAUUAGUCAUAUUUACAUUUCACAAGCUCCAUUUACUUACCUUUCAUAAUUUGUUAAUUAGUAGUGAUUGGCUUGAAGAGCCUCACCACUAGGAUUCUUAUAUGGUUUCUACUAUGAAUCUUGAUCAUAGGAGGGUCCUUUGGCUAGCCCAGCCUAUCAGACAUGGUACUUAGGCAAGCGGAUAUAUGGCUAGGAGGAGGGACCUAAUAGACGUGAGUACCCUUAUCUCCUCCUAUAUCUAUGUUUUGGACGGUUGAUCUCGCUGAUGAGGAGUGAGCGAUGAGCUUGGAGGGGUACGACGACCCCGAGGAUCUUAACAUUUGGUCUCGAAGGAUGAAUUACACCUCUUUUAUUCCUUGGCUGUUAGGGCUCGUGACUUCGGACGACGAGACCAUGGCUCAAUUCUUACGUUGUGCACCUUUAGUUCUUGAGCCGACAAAGGGGCGAUCUACUCGUCGUUCCAUGUCCUCUCACAUUUCGGGUUCAUCUAUAGGAGUUGCUUUUGAAGUGCCUCCUACAACAAUAUCUGAUGUAAUUCCAGGGAGUAUCCCUUUCUUCCCAGACCCGAUGGUGUCUUAUUGCAGUCCCUUUGAUGCAAUAGAGCAUCGACUUGUUAUGAAGUUGAGCCUUCCUCUAGAAUUCACUUCGAGUACUUGUACAUAUGGAAGUCAUGUUCUUUUGAUGCUUUGCACCUUUCCUUUUCUCCUGAAAUGUUAGUAAUACAUGUAAUCAUACAGGUCCAAAGAAACCAAUUCGAGCACAUACAUCGGUUUGUCGAAGCUGCGCGGAGACAAUUCUUCAUUAUUAGCGAAGAUUGGCGAACCACGAGGGCUUGCAGGGGUGGGUAGAUGCCCACCAGUGUCAGAUUGAGGCUUAACAGCCUAGGAUUAGUACUUUGAUGCUCUAAUUGUCUACUCUAUGGACUCAUGGGAUGGUUGCUGACUCAGAUGAUGAGAUGGAGGAUUCAAGAGAGAGUCCUGACGACUUUUAAUUCUUUAA